UAAGCGACUAAGCGUACACGGUGGAUGCCCUGGCAGUCAGAGGCGAUGAAGGACGUGCUAAUCUGCGAUAAGCGUCGGUAAGGUGAUAUGAACCGUUAUAACCGGCGAUUUCCGAAUGGGGAAACCCAGUGUGAUUCGUCACACUAUCAUUAACUGAAUCCAUAGGUUAAUGAGGCGAACCGGGGGAACUGAAACAUCUAAGUACCCCGAGGAAAAGAAAUCAACCGAGAUUCCCCCAGUAGCGGCGAGCGAACGGGGAGCAGCCCAGAGCCUGAAUCAGUGUGUGUGUUAGUGGAAGCGUCUGGAAAGGCGCGCGAUACAGGGUGACAGCCCCGUACACAAAAAUGCACAUGCUGUGAGCUCGAUGAGUAGGGCGGGACACGUGGUAUCCUGUCUGAAUAUGGGGGGACCAUCCUCCAAGGCUAAAUACUCCUGACUGACCGAUAGUGAACCAGUACCGUGAGGGAAAGGCGAAAAGAACCCCGGCGAGGGGAGUGAAAAAGAACCUGAAACCGUGUACGUACAAGCAGUGGGAGCACGCUUAGGCGUGUGACUGCGUACCUUUUGUAUAAUGGGUCAGCGACUUAUAUUCUGUAGCAAGGUUAACCGAAUAGGGGAGCCGAAGGGAAACCGAGUCUUAACUGGGCGUUAAGUUGCAGGGUAUAGACCCGAAACCCGGUGAUCUAGCCAUGGGCAGGUUGAAGGUUGGGUAACACUAACUGGAGGACCGAACCGACUAAUGUUGAAAAAUUAGCGGAUGACUUGUGGCUGGGGGUGAAAGGCCAAUCAAACCGGGAGAUAGCUGGUUCUCCCCGAAAGCUAUUUAGGUAGCGCCUCGUGAAUUCAUCUCCGGGGGUAGAGCACUGUUUCGGCAAGGGGGUCAUCCCGACUUACCAACCCGAUGCAAACUGCGAAUACCGGAGAAUGUUAUCACGGGAGACACACGGCGGGUGCUAACGUCCGUCGUGAAGAGGGAAACAACCCAGACCGCCAGCUAAGGUCCCAAAGUCAUGGUUAAGUGGGAAACGAUGUGGGAAGGCCCAGACAGCCAGGAUGUUGGCUUAGAAGCAGCCAUCAUUUAAAGAAAGCGUAAUAGCUCACUGGUCGAGUCGGCCUGCGCGGAAGAUGUAACGGGGCUAAACCAUGCACCGAAGCUGCGGCAGCGACGCUUAUGCGUUGUUGGGUAGGGGAGCGUUCUGUAAGCCUGCGAAGGUGUGCUGUGAGGCAUGCUGGAGGUAUCAGAAGUGCGAAUGCUGACAUAAGUAACGAUAAAGCGGGUGAAAAGCCCGCUCGCCGGAAGACCAAGGGUUCCUGUCCAACGUUAAUCGGGGCAGGGUGAGUCGACCCCUAAGGCGAGGCCGAAAGGCGUAGUCGAUGGGAAACAGGUUAAUAUUCCUGUACUUGGUGUUACUGCGAAGGGGGGACGGAGAAGGCUAUGUUGGCCGGGCGACGGUUGUCCCGGUUUAAGCGUGUAGGCUGGUUUUCCAGGCAAAUCCGGAAAAUCAAGGCUGAGGCGUGAUGACGAGGCACUACGGUGCUGAAGCAACAAAUGCCCUGCUUCCAGGAAAAGCCUCUAAGCAUCAGGUAACAUCAAAUCGUACCCCAAACCGACACAGGUGGUCAGGUAGAGAAUACCAAGGCGCUUGAGAGAACUCGGGUGAAGGAACUAGGCAAAAUGGUGCCGUAACUUCGGGAGAAGGCACGCUGAUAUGUAGGUGAAGUCCCUCGCGGAUGGAGCUGAAAUCAGUCGAAGAUACCAGCUGGCUGCAACUGUUUAUUAAAAACACAGCACUGUGCAAACACGAAAGUGGACGUAUACGGUGUGACGCCUGCCCGGUGCCGGAAGGUUAAUUGAUGGGGUCAGCGCAAGCGAAGCUCUUGAUCGAAGCCCCGGUAAACGGCGGCCGUAACUAUAACGGUCCUAAGGUAGCGAAAUUCCUUGUCGGGUAAGUUCCGACCUGCACGAAUGGCGUAAUGAUGGCCAGGCUGUCUCCACCCGAGACUCAGUGAAAUUGAACUCGCUGUGAAGAUGCAGUGUACCCGCGGCAAGACGGAAAGACCCCGUGAACCUUUACUAUAGCUUGACACUGAACAUUGAGCCUUGAUGUGUAGGAUAGGUGGGAGGCUUGGAAGUGUGGACGCCAGUCUGCAUGGAGCCGACCUUGAAAUACCACCCUUUAAUGUUUGAUGUUCUAACGUUGACCCGUAAUCCGGGUUGCGGACAGUGUCUGGUGGGUAGUUUGACUGGGGCGGUCUCCUCCUAAAGAGUAACGGAGGAGCACGAAGGUUGGCUAAUCCUGGUCGGACAUCAGGAGGUUAGUGCAAUGGCAUAAGCCAGCUUGACUGCGAGCGUGACGGCGCGAGCAGGUGCGAAAGCAGGUCAUAGUGAUCCGGUGGUUCUGAAUGGAAGGGCCAUCGCUCAACGGAUAAAAGGUACUCCGGGGAUAACAGGCUGAUACCGCCCAAGAGUUCAUAUCGACGGCGGUGUUUGGCACCUCGAUGUCGGCUCAUCACAUCCUGGGGCUGAAGUAGGUCCCAAGGGUAUGGCUGUUCGCCAUUUAAAGUGGUACGCGAGCUGGGUUUAGAACGUCGUGAGACAGUUCGGUCCCUAUCUGCCGUGGGCGCUGGAGAACUGAGGGGGGCUGCUCCUAGUACGAGAGGACCGGAGUGGACGCAUCACUGGUGUUCGGGUUGUCAUGCCAAUGGCACUGCCCGGUAGCUAAAUGCGGAAGAGAUAAGUGCUGAAAGCAUCUAAGCACGAAACUUGCCCCGAGAUGAGUUCUCCCUGACCCUUUAAGGGUCCUGAAGGAACGUUGAAGACGACGACGUUGAUAGGCCGGGUGUGUAAGCGCAGCGAUGCGUUGAGCUAACCGGUACUAAUGAACCGUGAGGCUUAACCU
rnacentral:rRNA from 1 species